UGAUCAUGGCUCAGAACGAACGCUGGCGGCAGGCUUAACACAUGCAAGUCGAGCGCACUCUUCGGAGUGAGCGGCGGACGGGUUAGUAACGCGUGGGAACGUACCCUUUUCUAAGGAAUAGCCUCGGGAAACUGAGAGUAAUACCUUAUACGCCCUUCGGGGGAAAGAUUUAUCGGAGAAGGAUCGGCCCGCGUUAGAUUAGAUAGUUGGUGGGGUAAUGGCCUACCAAGUCUACGAUCUAUAGCUGGUUUUAGAGGAUGAUCAGCAACACUGGGACUGAGACACGGCCCAGACUCCUACGGGAGGCAGCAGUGGGGAAUCUUGGACAAUGGGCGCAAGCCUGAUCCAGCCAUGCCGCGUGAGUGAUGAAGGCCUUAGGGUCGUAAAGCUCUUUCGCCAGAGAUGAUAAUGACAGUAUCUGGUAAAGAAACCCCGGCUAACUCCGUGCC
rnacentral:rRNA from 1 species